GCACGAGUAGCAAAGCGGUUAUGCGCGGGACUGCAGAUCCUGAUACGGGAGUUCGAAUCUCCCCUCGUGCU
rnacentral:tRNA from 1 species